UGGGUGUUGGUUGCUAUGGAUCUUUCGAGACUAAUAGUGUAUUAUCUCGAUUCUUUAUCGGGUGAUUGGACGAAAUAUCCGAAUAUGAAGAAGACGGUUGACGCGGCAAUACUAAAAUUUAGAUUGAAAAAGAAAUACCGCAAUAGGAAGGACAUUACCUGGAUCAGAGUUCAGUGUCCUCAGCAAAAUAAUUCGGUCGAUUGCGGAUUUUUUGUAAUGAGAUUUAUGAGAGACAUCAUUGCGUUGAAUCGUAUAGACAUCCCAAAA